GCAGGAUUAGGUGAGCUGUGAUUGACAGUUAUCACAACCUAUUAGGGAGUGGCAGUCCCCUUUUAAGCGGCGAUUGGCUGCUGCCCGAAAUGCGUCAUGUCCGGCUUUCCCCCUUGGUGUUCGCAACGAUAGCGACAGGUGAGCAUUGUGUGUAAAUGUUAGUAGUUUUAAUCUGUGUUUAUUUAAAACUAAUGUUGCGUUGGUUUUAGAGCGUUUGUCUAUCGUGCUGGUGCCCUCCUGUACUUGAGUGGGUUAAAUGACUGUUUACCCUCAGUUAGCUGUUGUUUACCUGAUGUUGGUAAACCUGUGCUGUAAACUGUAAUGUGUCUGAGGUGAUGCCACUGUUUGGAUUCUCCCUUUUGUUCUACGCCGUGCUUCCUCUAUUGAUGAGUUUGAUUUUCGCGCUGCUGUGUCGUACCGCUGAAACGACGUCACUAUCUUUACCGUGAUACCAUGGACUGUACACUGUCUGGUUUCUAAGCUUUACUGUAAAAUUCUAUUUCUCAGUGGAGGAUUGUCCAGCACAUUGAAGCUGGCGUAUGGACUUUGUCUUCGCGUCGUAUGAUUUCUUCUGUGUAGCCCAUUUGCCAUUUAUUACUGUGUGUUAUUUUGCUUUCAGGGGCUGGGGGUUUCCACGGGCAAAGGAUCUUGUAAUGGUGGUGGUACAGCGUCAACGGUUGCCGUGCUACACAUUUUUGAUGUGUAUGAGUAUGUGCUCUGAAUUCACGGUGUGGUGUGUGCGUGCUUUUUGAUAAUUUGCGCCAGUGAUCACUCCUGUGGGAACCUCAGCCCUGUAAGUUGAUGUUUUGUGUUUUUUUUAUUUGUCAUGUUGACUGUUGCCAGUCAUUGUAUUUUUUUUUUGUAGAAAUUUAUAUUUUCUUUUCUACAGUCGUUUUGUACUUUUGUAAAAUUUUGUUUUGUGUGAUGAUGUGAUGUUUUAUGUAAUUUGUUUUGUGUCUCUUAUUGUUGGAAUAUAUAAGAGCUGUAUGGAGUAACAUCAGUCUAUGCCUGUUUUAAGACAUUCUCAUACCUCAAUGAAGGUUGCAAAAAUAAAUCUUAUAUUUUUGUAUUAUACCCACGUCUCCUGCUCUCUUGUUCUGAGGAAUGAACUUGUGUGCCUUACCACCUUUUUGGGUGUAAGGAUUAUUUCCCUGGGUGUAAGUCCCGGGGUGGCGUAGUCGGAGUUUUAUGCAAAAUCUUUGCUUUCGUCACGAAGCUUUCCCCCAACCCCCUCGUCAUGCCACAUUUUGGCGUAUAGUCGGCAGGAUCCUCGAAUUUUGAGUGCAGAGACGUGGGUAUUGUUUUUUUUAUUUUUGUGUAUGUGGGUAUUGUUUUUUGUUUAUGUCUUGUAGGAUCCAGACAGCGGCAGUUUUCGUGUUGGAAUCCCAGCACAAUUUGUUGCUGGGCUUGCGUGGUUCGAUCGUUUGCGGUAAGUGGUCCUUGGUUCUAGGAACAGAGGACGAAUCACACAGGUUAAUACAUUUAGAGGCUCCGUAGAGGUAAAAUGUGUUAUUGGGUUAAGAACAAGAGGGAGAAUCUGAAUGUAUUAAGUAGAGGGCCAGUUGGGUUUUUAUGGGCAUGUUGUGAACAUUUGGGCACGUCUGGCAUGGCGUAUCAUUAAAGGCACCAUAAAAUUGGUUGUCGUGCUCGUAAUCAUUUUGUAUGAUCUGUACUGUUCUGUUGUGUCUGAAGGUAGGGUAUUACUGAGGUGGUAUUUGCCUGUGACUUCAAUUUUACGAAGGGGUGGGGAGGUACGAAUCGGUCCCAUGUCAUUUGGGGUCCCUCAGAGUCUGGGGUGGAACCAUCUGAUAAGUUUAUUGGUAGGAGAUAUACCCCCCCCCCAGGUUAGUCAUAUUCAGAUGGGGUCCCUCAGAGGUGGAGGUGGAACCAUCUUAUGAGUUUUAUGUUAUAGGAGAUGUACACCUAUGUCAGUUUUAUGAAGGGAUGGGGAGGUACAAAUCGGUCCCAUGCCAUUUGUGGUCAGAUGGGGUCCCUCAGACUCUGAGGUGGAACCAUCUGAUGAGUUUAUUGGUAGGAGAUGUACCCCCCCAGGCCAGUCAUUUUCAGAUGGGGUCCCUCAGAGUUUGAGGUGGAACCAUCUGAUGAAUUUUACUAUGCAGGAGACGUAUUCCCCGUAUCAGUCAGUUCUGCGUUGGGGUUGGAGGUGCUAAUCGGUCCCAUGUCAUUCGUUGUCAGAUGAGGUCCCUCCGAGUGAGGUGGAACCAUCCGAUGAGUUUGAUUGGUAGGAGACGUACCCCCCGGUUAGUUAUUUUCAGAUGGGGUCCCUCAGAGUUUAGAGUGAAACCAUCUGCUAGAUUUUAUUGCACUUCAGGAAGCUCUUGUUGUAGUCAUCUGUCAUUGGAGAGUAUGUCAGGUCAGUACUCCAACUGAUACCACUUCCUUUAAUCAGCGGGCACAGCUUUUCUGUCUUGCAGAGUGGAUCGUAAAGGUUGUGCCUUUUUCCGACCUUGGGGCUGAGCACCCUGAGGUGGGUUUUGUUUUGUUCACCGUCGGGGCGACGUUGCAGAAACUUGGGGUGGAUUGUAGCAGGAUUAGGUGAGCUGUGAUUGACAGUUAUCACAACCUAUUAGGGAGUGGCAGUCCCCUUUUAAGCGGCGAUUGGCUGCUGCCCGAAAUGCGUCAUGUCCGGCUUUCCCCCUUGGUGUUUGCAACGAUAGCGACAGGUGAGCAUUGUGUGUAAACGUUAGUAGUUUUAAUCUGUGUUUAUUUAAAACUAAUGUUGCGUUGGUUUUAGAGCGUUUGUCUAUCGUGCUGGUGCCUUCCUGUACUUGAGUGGAUUAAAUGACUGUUUACCCUCAGUUAGCUGUUGUUUACCUGAUGUUGGUAAACCUGUGCUGUAAACUGUAAUGUGUCUGAGGUGAUGCCACUGUUUGGAUUCUCCCUUUUGUUCUACGCCGUGCUUCCUUUAUUGAUGAGUUUGAUUUUCGCGCUGCUGUGUCGUACCGCUAAACGACGUCACUAUCUUUACCGUGAUACCAUGGACUGUACACUGUCUGGUUUCUAAGCUUUACUGCAAAAUUCUAUUUCUCAGUGGAGGAUUGUCCAGCACAUUGAAGCUGGCGUAUGGACUUUGUCUUCGCGUCGUAUGAUUUCUUCUGUGUAGCCCAUUUGCCAUUUAUUACUGUGUGUUAUUUUGCUUUCAGGGGCUGGGGGUUUCCACGGGCAAAGGAUCUUGUAAUGGUGGUGGUACAGCGUCAACGGUUGCCGUGCUACACAUUUUUGAUGUGUAUGAGUAUGUGCUCUGAAUUCACGGUGUGGUGUGUGCGUGCUUUUUGAUAAUUUGCGCCAGUGAUCACUCCUGUGGGAACCUCAGCCCUGUAAGUUGAUGUUUUGUGUUUUUUUUAUUUGUCAUGUUGACUGUUGCCAGUCAUUGUAUUUUUUUGUAGAAAUUUAUAUUUUCUUUUCUACAGUCGUUUUGUACUUUUGUAAAAUUUUGUUUUGUGUGAUGAUGUGAUGUUUUAUGUAAUUUGUUUUGUGUCUCUUAUUGUUGGAAUAUAUAAGAGCUGUAUGGAGUAACAUCAGUCUAUGCCUGUUUUAAGACAUUCUCAUACCUCAAUGAAGGUUGCAAAAAUAAAUCUUAUAUUUUUGUAUUAUACCCACGUCUCCUGCUCUCUUGUUCUGAGGAAUGAACUUGUGUGCCUUACCACCUUUUUGGGUGUAAGGAUUAUUUCCCUGGGUGUAAGUCCCGGGGUGGCGUAGUCGGAGUUUUAUGCAAAAUCUUUGCUUUCGUCACGAAGCUAUCCCCCAACCCCCUCGUCUUGC